CCCUUAGAUGUUCUGGGCUGCACGCGCGCUACACUGAAGCGUUCAACGAGUAUUCACCUUGCCCGGGAGGGUUGGGUAAUCUUUUGAAAACGCUUCGUGAUGGGGAUAGAUUAUUGCAAUUAUUAAUCUUCAACGAGGAAUUCCUAGUAAGCGCGAGUCAUCAGCUCGUGCUGAUUACGUCCCUGCCCUUUGUACACACCGCCCGUCGCUCCUACCGAUUGAAUGGUCCGGUGAAAUCUUCGGAUCUGAGAGAUGUCUGAUUAAUUUCGGACGCCUUUUGGAAAAGUUGCUUAAACCUUACCAUUUAGAGGAAGGUGAAGUCGUAACA
rnacentral:rRNA from 1 species